CAGCAGCCGCGGUAAUACGGAGGAUACAAGCGUUAUCCGGAAUUAUUGGGUUUAAAGGGUGUGUAGGCGGGGCUAUAAGUCAGUGGUGAAAGCUUGCGGCUUAACCGUGAAAAUGCCAUUGAUACUGUUGUUCUUGAGUUCGGCUGAGGUAGGCGGAAUGAGUAAUGUAGCGGUGAAAUGCUUAGAUAUUACUCAGAACACCGAUUGCGUAGGCAGCUUACCAAACCGACACUUACACUGAGGCACGAAAGCGUGGGGAGCGAACAGGAUUAGAUACCCUGGUAGUCCACGCCGUAAACGUUGAUUACUCGUUGUUGGCAAUACAUCGUCAGCGACUGAGCGAAAGCAUUAAGUCAUCCGCCUGGGGAGUACGCUCGCAAGGAUGAAACUCAAAGGAAUUGACGGGGGCCCGCACAAGCGGAGGAACAUGUGGUUUAAUUCGAUGAUACGCGAGGAACCUUACCUGGGCUUAAAUGUAGAGUGCAUUCCCGAGAAAUCGGGAUUUCCUUCGGGACUCUUUACAAGGUGCUGCAUGGUUGUCGUCAGCUCGUGCCGUGAGGUGUCGGGUUAAGUCCCAUAACGAGCGCAACCCUCAUCGCCAGUUGCCAUCACAUCAUGGUGGGGACUCUGGUGAAACUGCCGGUGCAAACCGUGAGGAAGGUGAGGAUGACGUCAAAUCAGCACGGCCCUUAUGUCCAGGGCUACACACGUGUUACAAUGGUCGGUACAACGGGCAGCUACACAGCGAUGUGAUGCUAAUCCCCAAAACCGAUCUUAGUUCGGAUCGGAGUCUGCAACUCGACUCCGUGAAGCUGGAUUCACUAGUAAUCGCACAUCAGCCAUGGUGCGGUGAAUACGUUCCCGGGCCUUGUACACACCGCCCGUCAAGCCAUGGAAGCCGGGAGUGCCUGAAGUCCGUAACCGCAAGGAGCGGCUUAAGGCAAACUUGGCAAUUAGGGCUAAGUCGUAACAAGGUAACCGUA
rnacentral:rRNA from 1 species